GCCCAGACUCCUACGGGAGGCAGCAGUGGGGGAUAUUGCACAAUGGGGGGAACCCUGAUGCAGCGACGCCGCGUGGGUGAAGAAGCGCCUCGGCGCGUAAAGCCCUGUCAGCAGGGAAGAAAAUGACGGUACCUGAAGAAGAAGCCCCGGCUAACUACGUGCCAGCAGCCGCGGUAAUACGUAGGGGGCAAGCGUUAUCCGGAUUUACUGGGUGUAAAGGGAGCGUAGAUGGCAAUGCAGGCCAGAUGUGAAAGCCCGGGGCUCAACCCCGGGACUGCAUUUGGAACUGUGUAGCUGGAGUGUCGGAGAGGCAGGCGGAAUUCCUAGUGUAGCGGUGAAAUGCGUAGAUAUUAGGAGGAACACCAGUGGCGAAGGCGGCCUGCUGGACGAUGACUGACGUUGAGGCUCGAAAGCGUGGGGAGCAAACAGGAUUAGAUACCCUAGUA
rnacentral:rRNA from 1 species